GGCCUGUGGCUCAGCGGCAGAGCACUUGCUUGUGGUGCAGAAGGUCCCAGGUUCAAUUCCCAGCAUCUCCA
rnacentral:tRNA from 1 species